rnacentral:lncRNA from 1 species
CUGAGGGCUCAGGAUCCACCGGCAGAGUCGAACUGCAAGAACUGAGCUUGUCCAACAUCCUCCGGGAUUUUAUUUUAUUUUUCUAUCUUCCUUCCCUUCUAUAAAUGAUCCUGGAAUUUUACCUGCCCUCAUGAAAUGAGCCGCCCUCAGCAGCUUCUUCCAUCCUGCCGUCCUACGCCAGAGAAGAAAAGACCCAGCACCAGGAAAUAAAGAGUGCCCAAAUCUUCACCCCUGGGAGCACUGUGGCAGAUGUGGUGCUGGAGCUGAGAGUGCUGCUUCUUACAGGGAACAAGAAGUCAAUUGAAAGUCACCCUGAGGCAAGCAUGAGCAAAAGAGACCUCCACACAGCUGCUUCUUGCCAUGGCAGUUGGCUUUCCCCAAAAUGGAACUCUGGAUGCUGCCUCACCACUGCUGUUGCUGUCAUGGUUAAUCUGCUGUAUCUUCUUCAUGUUACCAGCUCAGCCUACACAUGAUAAAGGUCAGAUCCAAUUUCUUCCUGUGACAACCAUCUUACAAAUGUCUCCCAAUGGAUCUCCUCAUAGUCACAUCUUUGAGUUCCGUCUGCAGGAAAUGUUUGCAUCCCUACAAAAGAAGAGGCAGUUGGACUGAGAAGACAGCUCAGCAGGUGAAGAGCUUGCCACAGGAGCACGAGGACCUGCGUUUCAUCUUCGGCACCCACAUAAAGCCAGGCACAACAGUACACACCUGUAAUCCCCGCACUGACCAGAGGAUACUUAGGGCUUGCUGGCCAGCCCGUUUAACUGAAUUGGUGAAAAUAAUGGCUCAACAGGCAUGGCGGUUUGAAUGAGAAAUGCCUUACAUAGCCUCACAUAUGUGACUGCUUGGUCCCAGGCUGGUGACACUGUUUGGGGAAGCUAUGUAAUCUUUAGGAAGUGAUGCCUUAAUGGAGGAAGUACACCAGUGAGGGCAGGCUUUGAGAGUUCAUUGCCUGACCCCACUUCCAGUUUGCUGUCUCUGCUUUGUGUUUGUGUCUGAAGACGCAAUUUCUCAGCAGCCUGCUCCGGUGGCCUGCUGCCAUGACACCCCACCACUUAUGGACUCUCUCUCUGGGACUGUAAGCCCAAAUAAACUAUUCCAUAAAUCAAUUUUGGUCAGUUUAUCAGAGCAACAGGAAUGUACUUAAUACCAUGGGUAAAGGCACUUGCUGCCAAGUCUGAACACCUGAGUUGGAUCCCCAGGACCCAAUAGGAGAAGGAGAGAAGCAUUCCUGUGAGUGUUCUGACUUCCAGACUCAUACUGAGGCACAAGCAGUCCC